rnacentral:rRNA from 1 species
AGUGAUCAAGUGUCUUAAGGGCGUUUGGUGGAUGCCUUGGCGACAAGAGGCGAUGAAAGACGUGGUACGCUGCGAAAAGCCAUGGGGAGCUGCGAACAAGCUUUGAUCCGUGGAUAUCUGAAUGGGGAAACCCACCCGCAAGGGUAUCUUGGCCUGAAUAUAUAGGGUCAAGAGGCGAACGCAGGGAACUGAAACAUCUAAGUACCUGUAGGAAAGGACAUCAACAGAGACUCCGUUAGUAGUGGCGAGCGAACGCGGACCAGGCCAGUGCUUCAUAUUUUUUAACCUGAAUAGUCUGGAAAGGCUAACCGAAGAGGGUGACAGUCCUGUAGGGGUGUUAAAGAUAUGAAGACUUGAGUAGGGCGGGGCACGUGAAACCUUGUCUGAACAUUGGGGGACCACCCUCAAAGCCUAAGUACUCCUUGUCGACCGAUAGUGAACAAGUACCGUGAGGGAAAGGUGAAAAGCACCCCGACGAGGGGGGUGAAAGAGAUCCUGAAACCGAACGCCUACAAGCAGUCGGAGCCCGCAAGGGUGACGGCGUACCUUUUGUAUAAUGGGUCAGCGACUUAAUUUAUCGAGCAAGCUUAAGCCGUUAGGUGUAUGCGCAGCGAAAGCGAGUCUUAAUAGGGCGUUAGUUCGAUGGAUUAGACCCGAAACCGGGUGAUCUAGCUAUGAGCAGGCUGAAGGUGCGGUAACACGCACUGGAGGGCCGAACCCACGCCUGUUGAAAAAGGCGGGGAUGACUUGUUGCUAGGGGUGAAAGGCCAAUCAAACCCGGAGAUAGCUGGUUCUCCGCGAAAUCUAUUUAGGUAGAGCGUGGGAUGAAUACCUUGGGGGGUAGAGCACUGGAUGGGCUAGGGGGUCUCACCGACUUACCAAACCUAACCAAACUCCGAAUACCCAAGAGUACUAUCCUGCAGACACACGGCGGGUGCUAACGUCCGUCGUGGAGAGGGCAACAACCCUGACCGCCAGUUAAGGUCCCUAAGUCAUGGCUAAGUGGGAAAGGAUGUGAGGAUCCCAAAACAACCAGGAUGUUGGCUUAGAAGCAGCCAUCAUUUAAAGAAAGCGUAACAGCUCACUGGUCUAAAUAAGGGUCUUUGCGCCGAAAAUGUAACGGGGCUAAAGCCAUGCACCGAAGCUGCGGGUGUAGCUUAUGCUACGCGGUAGCGGAGCGUUCUGUAGGCUGAUGAAGGGUGACCUGUGAGGGCACCUGGAAGUAUCAGAAGUGCGAAUGCUGACAUGAGUAACGAUAAAGAGUGUGAGAGACACUCUCGCCGAAAGUCCAAGGGUUCCUGUGCAAUGCUAAUCAGCGCAGGGUUAGUCGGCCCCUAAGGCGAGGCAGAAAUGCGUAGUCGAUGGGAAUGAGGUUAAUAUUCCUCAACCAGUGGGAUGUGACGAAUUCCGGUAGUUGUAUUGUCUUAUUGGAUUGAUGAUGCAGCGUAGGAGUUCCAGGAAAUAGCACCCACAUUAGACCGUACCCUAAACCGACACAGGUGGACAGGUAGAGUAUACCAAGGCGCUUGAGAGAACUAUGCUGAAGGAACUCGGCAAAUUGCUCCCGUAAGUUCGCGAGAAGGGAGACCCGUUAGAAGGCAACUUUUAGCGGGUGGCACAGACCAGGGGGUUGCGACUGUUUAUCAAAAACACAGGGCUCUGCGAAGCCGCAAGGCGACGUAUAGGGUCUGACGCCUGCCCGGUGCCGGAAGGUUAAGAGGAGAUGUGAGAGCAUCGAAUUGAAGCCCCGGUAAACGGCGGCCGUAACUAUAACGGUCCUAAGGUAGCGAAAUUCCUUGUCGGGUAAGUUCCGACCUGCACGAAUGGCGUAACGACUUCCCCGCUGUCUCCAGCAUAGACUCAGUGAAAUUGAAUUCCCCGUGAAGAUGCGGGGUUCCUGCGGUCAGACGGAAAGACCCCGUGAACCUUUACUAUAGCUUUGCGCUGACAGUUGUGUUGGCAUGUGUAGGAUAGGUGGUAGGCUUUGAAGUUUGGGCGCCAGCUCAGAUGGAGCCAUCCUUGAAAUACCACCCUUGUUGUCAUGGCUGUCUAACCGCGGUCCGUUAUCCGGAUCCGGGACAGCGCAUGGUGGGUAGUUUGACUGGGGCGGUCGCCUCCCAAAGAGUAACGGAGGCGCGCGAUGGUUGGCUCAGACCGGUCGGAAAUCGGUCGUUGAGUGCAAUGGCAUAAGCCAGCCUGACUGCGAGACUGACAAGUCGAGCAGAGACGAAAGUCGGUCAUAGUGAUCCGGUGGUCCCGUGUGGAAGGGCCAUCGCUCAACGGAUAAAAGGUACUCCGGGGAUAACAGGCUGAUGAUGCCCAAGAGUCCAUAUCGACGGCAUUGUUUGGCACCUCGAUGUCGGCUCAUCGCAUCCUGGGGCUGGAGCAGGUCCCAAGGGUUUGGCUGUUCGCCAAUUAAAGCGGUACGUGAGCUGGGUUCAGAACGUCGUGAGACAGUUCGGUCCCUAUCUGCCGUGGGCGCAGGAGAAUUGAAAGGAGCUGACCCUAGUACGAGAGGACCGGGUUGGACGCACCUCUGGUGGACCUGUUGUGGCGCCAGCCGCAUUGCAGGGUAGCUAUGUGCGGAAGGGAUAACCGCUGAAAGCAUCUAAGCGGGAAGCCCACCUUGAGACGAGUUCUCCCUGAGAGCCGUGGAAGACCACCACGUUGAUAGGUCAGGUGUGGAAGCGCGGUAACGUGCGAAGCUUACUGAUACUAAUAGCUCGAUAGGCUUGAUUAC